AUGUGUAAUGUUUGGGGACAAACUGAAAAUGGGAGAAGAACCCAAAGAAGGCAGAGAGAGGCACACGGUGAGGAGAAGCUGUCGUCUUCUUCCUCCGACAAACUCUUUGCCGCCGGCGUGCGGGGAAGCUGCGGUGGGCCGGUAAGAACCUACGCCCGCCACCUGUUCGGCCAAAUGUCUCACCGGCGCAAGACCACAAGGGCAUCGCCUUCGAGCACCGGAGACCACCUCAGCGCCCUCCCGGAUUCCGUGCUGCAGCACGCGCUUGGCUUCCUUGAGGGGCGGGAAGCCGUGCGGACGUGCGUGCUCGCCCGGCGCUGGCGCCACGUCUGGAGGCUCAUCCCUCGCCUGCGCAUCACCGACGUCGACGCGUUUCGGAGUGUCGAGAAGCUGAACGAGUUUGUGGACCAGCUGCUUCUGCCCCGCGACCGCGGCUCCGCACUGGACGAGUGCGAGUUUGAUCUCCGCGGGUUCUUGCGGCUGGAGGACGCACGAAUUGACCGCUGGAUCCGCCGUGUUUUGAAGUGCCAUACCCGGUUGCUGCAAGUCCAGCUCUACACUAAUCUACCAGCCACUGCAGAGCCAUUUCAAUCGUUCGUCAAACUGGCCAACCGACCUCUCUUCUCCCGGCACCUGUGGCGAUUAGAGCUCAAUGGCCUCUGCUUGGAAGGUGGCUUGCUUGAUUUUUCGAGCUGCUCGGUGUUGAAAGAUCUGAAGAUCACUAAUGGUGUCGUCUCUACUGAUCAGAUCCUGUCCCAAUCCUUGAAACAACUUACCAUCAUUGGUUGUGAGCUUUGUUGGCAAUUCCACCCAACUCUUAUAUCUGCUCCAAGUCUUAUUUCACUGCAGCUAGAUGAUUAUGUCGGUGUGACUCCAGUCCUUGAAAGCAUGCCAUUGCUAGAAACUGCAACUGUGAAUCUUGGCCAUCAAAAUGAGCAAUAUUGUGAUUUCUGUGAUAAAGGUGGCUUUGGAGAUUGUGAAUGUGGGAUGUGUUAUAUGUAUCCAGACAAUGAUUGUACACCCGACGUCUCUGUUCAUCUUAUGGGUCUGUCUAGUGCUACAUGUUUGGAAUUGAUAGCUUCCUCUCAAAUGGUUACGUUCAGAAGGGAUCUUCGAUACUGUCCUGCAUUCAGUAAGCUAAAAUCUUUGUUACUCAGUGACUGGUGUUUAGUUGCUGACUUCCAAACACUACUGUACUUUCUCCAUUACACACCACUUCUAGAGAAACUCACUCUUCAAGUCUGUCAGAAACCCAAAUCCAAUAUGGAAUUAGAAGGCAGUGACUUUUUGGAACAAUCCCUUGCGCUGAAGUACCUUAAGACAGUGGAAGUUAAAUGUCAAAUGAUUGAUGAGCAGAUUCAUAAUAUUUUGAAGAUCUUGAGCUUCAGCAGCAAAUCCCUGGAGAAAAUUAAUGUCCAAAAGCUGUAUACUAGUUACUGGUAUGGUGGUCGAUACUACUGCAUGUUAUGUUGUGUAGAGCAUACUGGAGGAUCUCUAGAAGCUGCAUAUUAG
rnacentral:rRNA from 1 species